rnacentral:misc_RNA from 1 species
CAAAAACAUGCCGGCCCAGUUUGUUUCGCCGCCAAGGCAACCACAAACCGAGUUCACAAACUCAUAUUUUUGCGCAGAGAACGCGUGUAGGAGGCGAGCGGGCUCGGACCCAUUUCUCACCGAGAGCAUUGGUGUCGAUGAUGCAUGGGCGAGGGCGCGCCAAAGGAGUUUUUGGGCACCCGCAGGCAAAGCAGGCGGGGACGGAACCGGACAUCGGUAAAGGACUCCUGGGGGUCAUGUUUUCUCCUCCUUCCAGUGCUAUAUUGACGCCUUUUGCCUGCGCUUACCGUGGCCUUGGCAGAGCGCUUGGGCAGCGAGGAUUUUGAAAACAUGCAAAAAGACUCCAACCUUUUGUGUCAGUGUCUGAAACGAAUUCGAUUGAGCGGCUGAGUAACUUUUUAUGGCCGCUUACGAGCAUCCGAAUCGGGCUACACCAUGAUGCCGAAAGAGAGGGCGCUUACCUCGGCAAGGGCGUAAGUUCGUCAUAUCACCGCACUCUAAAAAGAAAAGCCUUUGCACUCCAAAAGAAAAGUCGUGGCUCGAUUUGUUUACUGCCUCGAUCAAAAAUGGCAGGCCACACAGGACGCUUCUUUAAGAGCUUGCUUUUCACCGGUCCUGCCAUCCAUCUUUCCACUGGCUCAACCGAGGCUUUGUGGCCCCAGAAAAUCAUUUUCAAAAGCACAAAUGUUGUUUCUUUACUCCGGGCAGAAAAGUAGCCUUUGGUUUCAGACACAACUUCGUGGUGUUCGUGGCAAAGGGCGCUUCAGGGGCCCCGUGCGCCAGCUUUGCUCCAGGGAAAUCCGGCAGCUCCCUCCCCCACCCCCUGCCAAGUGCCGAGCCGCUUCUGGUGGUGACGGGGUCAGGUACCUACGCCGCAGGGGGGAGGGUUAAGAGCGAUGUGUCGCUGCUGGUGCCGGCGGUGGCGUCCUGGAUGACGUUGCAUCGGAGUGGCCCGCGACAGCGAGGCAGAUCUGUAUCCAUCCACAUGAUGGGUAGAGCGUCAUCGUGACCCGGGCGUCUCCCACCCGGCCCGGCCCUCACACCGCCCACUGGUGUGGGUGGGGUGCCCGAGCGCCACCGCGAGGGGGAUGCGCCCGGUGGCGGCAGGCAUGGUGGGCGCGGCUGCGCGGCGCCCCGCGAAGCGUGGGCUGUGGGCGUUGGUGGGGGCCGUGCUCUCCGAUGGCUGGGCCAGCGCGUUGCUGUGGCGCGUGUGCGUCUACGGCUGCCAUCGGCCCACGCGAGGUUGGGCCUGUGACGGAGGAGGAGGUGUAGACAGGCGUUCGACCUCGUGUUGUGUAGCAGAGAAGGACACGUGCGAAAACAGAUGAGCUUCGGAACUUCUGUAACCGCUGCAAAGCAUAUGUGUGUUAUAGAUGGUUACCGGCGUCGGAUCGAGGGAACGUGAUUGAGGAGGUGGAGCUCGGUGGGAGAGGAUCGUUGGUGUUCCAGGAUGUGAUCAGCCUGUCGUGGUCGAAAGCCUUGCCAGCAAGGGAGUUGUUUGACUGUGUUGAGUUUACCUCGAGAGCUAGUGUCUGCUCGAACGAAGGGAGGAAAGAGGUUUUGAUUCUACUGUAAGAAGUCGUUUUGGGGUUGCGUUGCUUUGGAUGUGAUGGCUGUGCACGGUGCAGGACGCAUGCUUUAGGGGAUGGUCCGCGGGGAGCUGAUUCGCUGGUGGGAGGGGUGCUCGACGUGGCGGAGCUCAUUGUAUACUGGAUGCUUGGGGUUUACUGCACAGAUCUCAGCCUGUUCUCAACAAUGGACUAAACACAAUCCCUGGAAACCUUACGAAUUCGACAUUUUUCUUCGCUUGCUGGCGCUGCUGUCGGCUUGCUUCAAUUCUGGCGGCCUUCAAUGUUUUAUUUCGAAGAGGAUCUUUGGGCCGUUCAACUGAACAGUCACUUGGAUGAUUGCUGACCCUUGGCUGCAAUGGUGGGUAGGCUUGUUGUUUGUGAGACGGCUGAGGGACUGCCUUGGUUUGCAUUGUGGAGUGACGGAGGUGGAGGGAGUUUUUAUCGAAAAAUGUGGUUCUUUGAGUGGGUGCGAAGGGUUAUAGGUAGUCGCUGUACCCUAUCUGUGAUUUGAAAAUAAAGCGAAGCUUGUGGAUGUGUGGUCGACGUACCACUGCUGUUGGGUUUUCUUUAAUGUUGUUAUGGUCGCAGUGAACGGGAAACUAUGGUGCGCGUGUCGUUUCAAGGGGCAGGCACAGUGCGUCAAUCGACUCACUGGGGAAGCAAUAAGUGGUACAGCGCCGAGACAUCACUAAAAAGCAAUGCCUGAAGCUUUUCACAGCUUCUUGCACAAAACGCAGGCGCAUAGCGUAUUGAAAUCGAUGCUGCCCACGUACAGGCGGGGAGUGUCUGCUUUCUCAAGUAUCCACCACGGAACUCAACUUUUACAACACAUUUACCAACUGUCCACUAUUUCCACUUUUUUCUUACCUUUCUUCUUAAUCAGUCGCAAAGGUGACUCUUGGAGACAGCACUAGCGAUGGACUUUCAAUUUAUCAAUGACUCGGAUGUACUGUUGCCAGUCACCAGUGUGGUGGUUGCCGCAGCGAUCGCGUUGCUCAUUGGAAGGUGUAUUCCACUCAAGGGAACGCUGAGUAGCGGCAACUCUGAGGGUCGUGACACAGGGGAUAUGAUACUGGAGUUGGAAAGGCCCUGUUCACAGACGCAUUCACACUGGCGAAAGUAGCUGUGGUCUAUUUGACGGAUCAAAAAGAG